UUUCCUUUUCCCUUUAAAUAAGAGCUAUCGAGUCUCUUCAACCAUAUCACUUAUUAACUUCCUUGCUAGACUUUGCUCUUCUUGUUCUGCUACUUCCAACAAAAUGGCAUUCAUUUCCAGAGUUGCUGCUCUACGGUGCAAAAUACAUGGAAAUGAUCAUGAUGUUGUUUGGUAUGACUAUCCUCUUGCAGUUUGCGAUGAAGGAGACGAUGAUGACGAUGGUGGUUAUGAUUAUGCACCUGCAGCAUAAACUCAUUAUCCCUCUCAUUGAUUUUGGCUAGUACUUCUAUUAACCCGUAUUAGUGUUGUAAAUUUGAUGUAUCAACCAGUUAUAAUGUCGCUCUUUCUUUUGGUUAUAACUAUUAGUGCUAAUUGAAAAAGAAAAAAAAAUAGAUUAUUUACUCUAAUUUUACCUAUUACUCAUCAAUUGAUCCUUUUAUGAAUGGUGUGGCCUUACUUAUAUGUUUGAGCAUCUUUUGUUAUGCAUAUAUAAGAAAUGCUUUUUUUUUAGUUUUAAAAAAA
rnacentral:lncRNA from 1 species